GACGUAGGGCGCGAGCGUUGUCCGGAUUUAUUGGGCGUAAAGAGCUCGUAGGCGGCUUGUCGCGUCGAAUGUGAAAACUCGGGGCUCAACCCCGCGCUUGCAUUCGAUACGGGCAGGCUCGAGUUCGGUAGGGGAGACUGGAAUUCCUGGUGUAGCGGUGAAAUGCGCAGAUAUCAGGAGGAACACCGGUGGCGAAGGCGGAUCUCUGGGCCGAUACUGACGCUGAGGAGCGAAAGCGUGGGGAGCGAACAGG
rnacentral:rRNA from 1 species